UACGUAGGGGGCAAGCGUUGUCCGGAAUCAUUGGGCGUAAAGAGCGUGUAGGCGGCUUGGCAAGUCUGACGUGAAAGCCCGCGGCUCAACCGCGGAUUGUCGUUGGAAACUGCCUCGCUAGAGUCCGGAAGAGGAGAGCGGAAUUCCUGGUGGUAGCGGUGAAAUGCGUAGAGAUCAGGAGGAACACCCGUGGCGAAGGCGGCCCCCUGGGUCGGCCCUGACGCUGAGGCGCAAAGCCGUGGGG
rnacentral:rRNA from 1 species